GAGCUUCAUGGACACUACAAGGCCGAGGGGCUUGUAGUGCGCGUCUCUCCUAGGCCCGAGGUUUCGGUAUAAGGCCGACGAUGCUGUUCGGUAUACGGGCCAAUGUUGCUACUCAGUAUAGGGGAACAAAUAUUAUACUUUGGCUUUGGGUUCAGCCAUACGGUCGGAUGUUGCUUGUUGCCUUGUUUUCAGACGAUGCGUGUUGCUAGGCUUUCGGACGGUGCUUGUGGAUGUACACGAUGAAGGGCGACAUCGUGCUACAAGGAAUAUCGAUGCUCGAUGAUCGGGCUAGAUACUUGAAAGACCCUCGAUAAGAACACUUGAGAUCCUUUAUAAGGGGGAAAGACCCUUGA
rnacentral:misc_RNA from 1 species